GCCUGGUAGUGGGGGAUAACGCUCGGAAACGGACGCUAAUACCGCAUACGUCCUACGGGAGAAAGCAGGGGACCUUCGGGCCUUGCGCUAUCAGAUGAGCCUAGGUCGGAUUAGCUAGUUGGUGAGGUAAUGGCUCACCAAGGCGACGAUCCGUAACUGGUCUGAGAGGAUGAUCAGUCACACUGGAACUGAGACACGGUCCAGACUCCUACGGGAGGCAGCAGUGGGGAAUAUUGGACAAUGGGCGAAAGCCUGAUCCAGCCAUGCCGCGUGUGUGAAGAAGGUCUUCGGAUUGUAAAGCACUUUAAGUUGGGAGGAAGGGCAUUAACCUAAUACGUUAGUGUUUUGACGUUACCGACAGAAUAAGCACCGGCUAACUCUGUGCCAGCAGCCGCGGUAAUACAGAGGGUGCAAGCGUUAAUCGGAAUUACUGGGCGUAAAGCGCGCGUAGGUGGUUCGUUAAGUUGGAUGUGAAAUCCCCGGGCUCAACCUGGGAACUGCAUUCAAAACUGUCGAGCUAGAGUAUGGUA
rnacentral:rRNA from 1 species